ensembl:lncRNA
CCGUAGGGUUGAUACGAGUCGAAAUCAACUUAGUGACUGAGCAUGCAUACUCGCAAACAUUUUAGCGGGCAUCAGAAUCACCUGGAGGGUUAUUUGAAUUGAAAAGUAGAGGGAUGUGCCCAGGAUCUGUGUUUUAAUUAGUUCCCCAGUUGAUUCUGAGACCCACUAACACUAACAUUUGAGACUUGAUUUCCUCUCUCCCUGUACUGUCCUCUUAAGAAAGAAGUCUCUGUGUGACGGUUUCUCCAGAGGACAGGGGCGUGUGCUCCACCACUUUGAAUGGAGAACAAUCUGCAUAAAUUAUUUGGAAUUUAUUUCUACAGAACUAGAGUCAACUGCUUUUGUUAAGAAACCCUGACUCCUUUAUUGGAAAAGGAACACCUGGAUGCUAGCCUGUGUGCUCAACUGCCCCGUGGUAUGCGGGAUCUUACUUUUCGACCUGGAUCAAGUCAACAUUCCCUCCAUUGCAAGGCAGAUUCUUAGCCAUUGGACCAGCAAGGAAGUGAACGCCAAGGACCACCUUAAGAGAACUCUCUCUCCUUUUUUUAAUGUAUCUAGUGGCAUGUGGAACUUCCCCAACCAUGGAUUCAACCUGUGUCCCCUACAGCAGAAGCUCAGAAUCUUAACCACUGGACUUGCCAGGAAAGUCCCUAUCUACUCAUUUUAGAAGCUGCUUACAUCAGUGCUUUACUCCCUCCCCCUUCAAUGAGGUUAUGUCACACAUUUGUAAAACAGAUUCUUUGGUCUCUGUAUUCUGUCUUGUAGUUGUCCGGUCUCCCAACUGAUAUGUUUUUAAAUUUGCAUUCUUUAAGAUUCAUUCUCGAGUUGUAAAGCCCUGUGGGUUUUGGCGAAUACACAAUGUCAUGAUCACAACCAGAAAAAAAUCCCCAGGGCUUCCCCUAUUUAACUUUUCCUCCUCCCCAAAUUCCUGGAAGCUUCUGAUCUAUUUUCUGUCUAUAAUUUUGCCUCUUCUGGGAUAUCAUACACACAGAAUCAUACAGAAUGUAGCCUUGUCAGACUGGAUUCUUACACUUAGUAAAACAUUUAAGAUUCAUUCAUUUUGCCACACCCACAGUGUUUUUAUAACAAAAACAUGUACAUUGUUGUCAAACAUUAUUUCCUCUACAAACCAGAAUGUUUAAUAAAAGUCUGUAGACGCUAAUGAGGAAGUGAAAGAAAGUAGGUUUACAUAGCUGG